CAGUCGAGCGGUACAGGGGGAGCUUGCUCCCCGCUGACAAACGGCGGAAGGGUGAAUAAUGCAUAAGAAACUGCCCAGUAGUGGGGGAUAGCCCGGGGAAACCCGGAUUAAUACCGCAAACGCCCUUUGGGGGAAAGCAGGGGAUCUUCCGACCUUGCGCUAUUGGAUGUGCCUAUGUCCGAAUAACUAGUUGGUGGGGUAAGAACCUACCAAGGCGACCAUCCCUAGCUGGUCUGAAAGGAUGAUCAGCCACAUCGGGACUGAAACACGGCCCGAACUCCUACGGGAAGCAGCAGUGGGGAAUAUUGGACAAUGGGGGCAACCCUGAUCCAGCCAUGCCGCGUGUGUGAAGAAGGGUUUCGGGUUGUAAAGCACUUUCAGUGAGGAAGAAAACCUUACGAUUAAUACUCGUGAGGCUUGACGUUACUCACAGAAGAAGCACCGGCUAACUCCGUGCCAGCAGCCGCGGUAAUACGGAAGGUGCAAGCGUUAAUCGGAAUUACUGGGCGUAAAGCGCGCGUAAGUGGUUUGAUAAGCGAGAUGUGAAAGCCCCGGGCUCCACCUGGGAACGGCAUUUCCAACUGUCAGGCUAGAAUAUGGUAAAAGAAUGUUGGAAUUUCCUGUGUAGCGGUGAAAUGCGUAGAUUUUGGAAGGAACACCAGUGGCGAAAGCCGCACUCUGGACCAAUACUGACACUGAAGUGCCAAAGCGUGGGGAGCAACCGGAUUAAUACCCUGGUAGUCCCGCUGUAACGAUGCCACUAACCCUUGGACUCUUGAAUCUUAAUGGCCCACUAAACACUAAUUGACGCCUGGGGAGUCCGCCGCAAGGUAAACUCAAUGAAUGACGGGGC
rnacentral:rRNA from 1 species